rnacentral:tRNA from 1 species
AGUGUUGCGCCGGGCUUGAGCGGGAUUCAUUGAUGUUGACUUAUACGGGGCCACUAAGUACCCCCAGCACUA